rnacentral:ribozyme from 1 species
AAAAUAAAAAAUAAAGAUAAAGAGACUGCUGCUGGAAGAAAGAGCCAUCAAUAAAUUCUUUUCCUUUCGUCUCUUACGAUCGUGUCUUUUUCUUUUUUCUUUAUUGAAGCGUCCAGCUUACAGCUGAUCCAUCAGACGCUUCAAAUAAAGAAA